GACGAACCGUCCUAACGUUUUUCGGAAUCACUGGGCUUAAAGGGCGCGUAGGCGGCCCAUCAAGGCCGGGGUGAAAGCCUCCAGCUUAACUGGAGAAGUGCCACGGAUACUGGUGGGCUCGAGGGAGGUAGGGGCAACUGGAACUUGCGGUGGAGCGGUGAAAUGCGUUGAUAUCGGAAGGAACGCCGGUGGCGAAAGCGAGGUGAGGGAGCUCUUCUGACGCUGAGGCGCGAAAGCUAGGGGAGCAAACGGG
rnacentral:rRNA from 1 species